AUUGAACGCUGGCGGCAGGCCUAACACAUGCAAGUCGAACGAGUGGCGGACGGGUGAGUAAUGUCUGGGAAACUGCCCGAUGGAGGGGGAUAACUACUGGAAACGGUAGCUAAUACCGCGUACCAUCGGAUGUGCCCAGAUGGAAUUAGCUUGUAGGUGAGGUAACGGCUCACCUAGGCUACGAUCCCUAGCUGGUCUGAGAGGAUGACAAGAUGAACUGGAACUGAGACACGGUCCAGCCUCCAGCGGGGUGUAGCAGUGGGGAAUAUUGCACAAGGGGGGCAAGCCUAAUGCAGCCAUGCCGCGUGUAUGAAGAGGGCGUUCGGGUUGUAAAGUCCUUUCAGCGGGUAGGCGUUACCCGCAGAAGAAGCACCGGCUAACUCCGUGCCAGCAGCCGCGGUAAUUC
rnacentral:rRNA from 1 species